rnacentral:lncRNA from 1 species
GUCCGAGCGCCGCCCAGCGCACAGCUACCCCGGAGGGGCGGCUCCUUGGCCAGGGAAGGAGGCGGGAUCUGCUUGCCAGCGGGCGUCUCCGCUUAGCGCUCUCUCCAGAAACCGCUGGGCAGUCUCCUGGGUGAGCGCCAGACGCCUGGGGUCCGUUUGCCGCCUGCUGAGACUAGACAAGGACCCCGGGAGGGCGACGUUGGGGGAGAGGGCUACGGAUGGAGGUCCCGCCGCGCUUGGGCCGGGUCCGGAGCCACCAGGACGCACAGCGGGUUUCCCUCAUUCUCAGUCAGGUGGUUGAGUUAUCCAAGCCUUCAUAACCAGAGGGUCUGAGCACUUGUUGGACUGUGCUUACUGCAGCUUCUCAUUUACAAUUACCACUGCACCUGAGAGUACCAAGAGAUUCCUGAGCCAGAGAUUACGAUUUCCAACUUCCAGCUCCUCAAGAUGGAGAAACAGAGGGAAGAAGAGACUUGGAAUCACUCUGUCCUGGCUGUGGGUCUAUGAAAAAGAAUGUGGCCUACUGCUAAAUACAUUGAUUUUGAAGCUAGAUAGCUCUGGUUUUGGGGAGCAAGUGAUUUGAUCUCUCAGAGACUCAGCUACUUCAUCAGUAAACAGAGAUUACCAUAUCCACCAGUAAUGGCUAUAGGAGCAGUAAUAGGGAUGAUAUAGGUGAAAGCACUGAUCACUGAAUGAUUCCAAAGACAGGUGCAGAGAGGUUCAGGCAUCAGACAGGCUACCUGGAUCCAAAUCCCAGCUCCAUCAUUUACUACUUUCAUGGCCUUUACAAACCACUAAACUUCUCUCUGAGCUUCAAUUUUCCCAUCUGUAACAUGGGAACUAAUAAAAUGAAACCUUCCUAAUAAAGUUGCCAGGAAGAUUCAUUGAGACAUUGAAUGUAAAGUAUUUAACUCAAUAUAGAGCACAGGGGAGCACCAAAUAAAAUUCAGGUGUUACAUUUUUAAGCACGUGUUCACCAAGGCUCCCAAUUCAGGUGGUGAGGAUUCUAUGAUGAUCAAUUCCUCCUAAGGUAUUUGUAAAAUGACCCACCAGAUUACCAACCAUUCCUGUAUUUCCAGAACCCUUUGGAGUCCUUUAUGUAACCUGGGAGAGCUGUUAUUCUUUUUUCUUUUUGGUAGAAGUGAAAUCCUGCAGGAAAACUUGCUCCAUUUUGGUUAUUUCUGUUAUAUCACAAGGUGGGCUGGAUAGCAAGUUUUGGAAGCACUGAACACCCACACGGAGCUGGCUCCUCUCAGGCGGGGAGGCAUCUUCACUAAGGAGAGGUGCAGUCUGUGUCCCCGUCCUUGACUCUGAGAAUCCCUGUGAUCAACAGAAUGCAGAAAAGUGACACUGCAUGGCUUCUGAGGCUAGGUCCAGAAAAGGUGAUGCAGCUUCCCCCUUUGCGCUGAAAUGCAGUGCUUGGACCUCAGAGCUAUUGACUAAGAAGUCCAUGCACCCUGAGCUUCUCAUGCUGGGGAAGCCACGUGUAGGCAUUCAGUUCCCAGCCCAGCUGAGCUCCAUCCUGGCUGCAACAAUUGUUCUCAUGAGGAAGCCAUCUUGGACACUCAGCUCCAUGGAGCCUCCACGAGUCGCCAGCCCCAACUGACAUCUGUCUCACUGCAACCACAGAAGAGCCUCCAACCAAGAACUGCACAGCUGAACCCUUUCUAAAUUCUUGAUCUCCAAAAAGCCAUGCACAAAAUAAAAUGGUUGUUUUGAGCCACUAAACUCUGGAACCUCGAGUAGGGGAGAAGUUCCUUUGGUGUCUGUUCCCCUGUAUUUACCUGGGUAACUGAGAAUCA